UGCAGGGCUGCCACGGUGUUCUGCCGGCUUGCCCGACCCUCUGGCGUCACCAGCCAGAAGCCCCCGUCCAUGGCGUCCUUCCCUCCGGAUGCGGUCCCUGAGAGGGCUAGUUCGCCCCUCCAACAAACUCUCCGCUAGAUACUGCGUCUCCUGCCUUUCCAGUACUUUUUUAAAAAAAAUUAUUUCCGAAUUUGAACAUUAGCACUUGUUUCUUUUUUUAAAUUUACGAGAUGGCAGAAUUGUCAUAAGAAGAGAUGUGCAUAUAUCCUUGCGAAUUUUAAAGAACGUGAGAUGCUGCCUGGCUUGUGAAUUGUUCCAGCAUUUCUGCUUUUGUUUUUGGAUUUACAGCACCUGGAGAUUUUUAAAACAAAAUUUCCAUUCUGAUGGGCUCACAAAGACGCCAAAAUGAAAUGGUGGAAAUCGUUGAGAAACACCAGUCAGCAGCCAUCAUCCAGGAUUAAGAUGUGAAGAAAUUUCUGAUUUAUAGUUUUUCUGCAAUAUGGUAUAUUCCCCAAUUUUGUCCAUCCAUAUCUUAUAUGCUUUAAUUUGCCAUAAAAUGCAGUAAUCUCCAAAUGCCUUUUUAUAUUAAACUCACCAUGAAGAUCUUCAGCCAAUUAUUCAUGAUCAGAGAAUUUUAUUGAAUGAUGGAGCAGAUGAAAAGGGCCAAGCAUUCCAUCUUUUAUCUUUUAUUUUCUUUCAUUUUUUGACUCUUUUGUAAUUCAGUGCUUUUGCUCACAGCUUCUUUAUAAAUCACUAUCAGCUUACAUCAUGAUGAAGGGUCUCGACCCAAAGCAUUGACUGCUUCUUCAUUUCCAUGGAUGCUGCCUGACUCGAUGAGUUCCUCCAGCAUUCUGUUUGUGUUACUCUGGAUUUUCAACAUCUGCAAAAUCUCUUGUGUUUGUGUUGUUGACAUCCUGUUGCUUUCCAGAGUUCUUUUUGACGCAUUUGUGAAAGGCAAAUCAAGACAGAUCUGUGACUCUUCACUGCCAUUGCAAUGUGUCCCUUUUACUGAUUCCUUUCAUUCUUCCAAAUCUGAAUCUUAAAAAAUUGAAAUUCCUUUUCAAUCUGCAUUUGCAAAUAGAUUAUUAACAAGUAUAAAGAUUUGACUAGUUUUUCUGCAUUGUGGUAUAUUUCAAUGUCACCCAGCCACAUCUCAUCAUCUGCUUUAAUUUGCGAUAAAGUAUAGUACUCAAAAUGCCUUUUUACCGUGAAGAUAUUCAGCCAAUUAUUCAUAAUCAGAUAAUUUUAAUGAUCAUGUGGUGAGAAAAAAGACUGAGGUUAGUUUGAAAAAUAUUGUAUCUCUCAGAAUUACAUUUUAUGUGCUGUACAACAUAUUUUAGUGAAGUCCUAUGUAUAAUUUGGUUGUUAAGGUUGUUAUAGCCAUGGGUGGUAAUGGGGAGAAGCUCCCGCCACCUAUUAAAUGCUCUCAAUGAUGUGCAACACAUUGCCCCUGACAACCAAGUCCAGCUCCUGACCUUCAUGUAUAGCUUAGCUACCAAGGCUGGAGGAGCCAUUUCUACUGACAAGAGAAGGGACAAAGGUGAGCUACUGGAGCCUUAAAACCAGUCACUUUGGGUAGACAGGGCUCGUCGAUCAUGGUUGGCAGCUCAUUGAGAAGAAGGAUAACUUUGGUCUCAAACCUCUGCUGACUUAUAGCUAUUGUUGUUCAUUGGGAAGGCUUUGGGAGUAAACCCCAAGGGAAAAAUUCAGAGCUGGAGUCCCUAAGUCCUCAUUUGAGUUCAAUGCUGAAUGGCAAUUCCUGUGACACUGCUGGUGCCAAUCUGUAUCGGUCUCUGCCAUUCCUUUGGGUUUGUCAAUUGUGAGGGGAGGGGGAGCUACACGGGCAACAGCUUGCUCUCCAUAUCAUACUGUCCAGUUGCAUACCUAGACAGCUAGGGUACACCAUUCGUGGUCGACCCUGACCAACGGAGGCCUUAUAUAUAAUUUAAUUAUUUCUUUCUUCUUUGCAAGUGAAACAUUAUGUAAUAUAGUUUGAGCUGAUUGAUAUUUCAUAUAAUAACUAAAAAUGUUCAUUACUUUUAGGGAAAACAAGUCAUUGCACCAAGAGAUGAACAGGAAAGUAAUUUAGGCUGCAUUCUAAAGCUUUACAUUUUCACAUGCAUUGACAUUAUUACUCCAGUAAAAAAGUAGAAUAUCUCAGUUAAUGUGUAGACUUUGUAGGAACUGAAUCCUCGGGCUAUAGAUAAGCCAAAAAGUUCUUAACCCCUUCAUUGCUUUACACUUUAGAGUGAAGAGUUUCCAUGAUACACUGCAGCUUUGUACAUUUUGAAUGCUUCAUCAAAUAUUAUCAUCAAGAAAUAAAUGAUCAAGUUCUUUUAAGACAUAAAUGUUGACACACUUUUCAUAUUUUUCUUCCUCUGAAAUAAUUUGUAUCUUUAGUGCAGGCCAGAACUAAGUGCUAAAGAUGAAUAUUCUUUGCACCGGCUCUGGAAGUUCUUUGUACUCUAUUCCUUCAAAAGAAUGAUUGAGUAGUUCUAUGUUUUUGUAAAAGGAAGAGAAGUUAUUAAAGACAUUAGGAUAAAACAUUCCAAUGUGAGAACCUGAAGUUUUCAUCCCAUUUUUAAAUGGAUUUUAAUGAUAUGAUACUCAUGACCCACAUAGUUUCGUCUUCUGGUAAACUGACUUGAAAAUCCUAAAAUUGACACAUAUUAUUAGCUAUAUGUAAAAAAAAAUACCCAAAGGCCAUUCUUUUUAAUAUGUUUGGUGGCCUUGCAAGAAUGGCAUUUUUCUCAGUUAUUGUGAUAAAAAUCAUUAGGCAUGUUCAGUCAGUUCUGUUCUUAAAUACAUCAAACAACAACAGAAAUAGUUUGUCGUUUCCAACUGUAACCUAAACAUGUUUGCAAAUUGAACACUAUAGACUGAAAGCCCCUGCAGUUUUUGAGCUAAAACAUUCCUGGUGAUGUUGCAAUUAUUGCAAUUUCUCAAACUUUUAAAUUGCAUUUUAGUGCAAUCCUGACUGAGGGUAGAGGUAAUGAAAAAUACUAUGGAAAUUCUGUAAUGUUUUGUAACUCCAAAACAUUAAAGUAAUUGGAAGGAAAGCAAUAGAGCCAGGAGAUGACUUGUGGAUAUUCACUCUUAUUUUAAGCGAGGUGUGUGUGUAUCAGGCGGUGAUGCAAUGACUUGCGUCGUUCAUGUAUUUCAUACAUAUAAUCAUAAUU